GUUUCACUGUGUUAGCCAGGAUGGUCUCGAUCUCCUGACCUCGUGAUCCGCCCGUCUCGGCCUCCCAAAGUGCUGGGAUUACAGGCUUGAGCCACCGCGCCCGGCCUCUACUUAGGCUGGUUCUAGGACUCAUUCAUGUUCACUCACUGUACAAUCAUCUCUGGAAAUGUAAAAUUUACUUUUAUAUUGUUAUGUAGGGCUGACAGGACAGCUGGAUCAGUUUCAUUAAAAAGGGCAAACUUGAAGAUCUUUUGACUCCAGCUUUUUAAGGGAUCUAAAGUGACCUUGAUGGACAGUGGAAGAAAUCACAACAUGGAAUUCCUUGAAUAAAAAUUUAUUGACUUUAAAUAAUUUUGUCUAAUGCUACAUAUACACAAUAAAAAAAAAAAAAAACCUCUUUACACUGUUUCUAGAAAGUCAGCAUGUAUUUCUGGCUCGAAGUUUCUCUAGUGUUUUCUGUGGAAGGAAUAAAAAUUUAGUAGUUUCAGUUGUGUACUUCAGGCUUGAAAAAUUAAGUCCUUCCCCCUCAGUUACACUUACCUUAUGGAAUUCUUUUGCCUUUGCUCUGUUUUGGGCAUAAGCCUCUUGUUUUGCUUUUUCUUCCUUUUGUUGUUUCACUUCAGCUAGUUGAUUGUAUAACCUGUAAAGAACUUACAUAGAAUUAGAGACAAACAUUGCAAAAAGUGAAUCACUGAAAAAAAAAUAAAUAAAAAUAAAAUCAACCUUACCUUAGACCCCUUUGGUGCCUUAGAGCCUGUGUGGUCUUUCUGUCUUCAGGAAAAGAUGCUCUGACUUUAUUCACGCCCUUUAGACGACUCACAGAUGAACCUGAGGAAAGAAAAGUGAAAUCAAGUUGUAAUGAGAAGGCUUUAAACAUUUCAGGGAGUUGUUGAAGAUUUUAAAAAUUCAACAUACUUAUAGAUGGUUUCUCUUUAAUUGUUUUGAUUUGAGAAUUUUCAGAGAGACGAAUUUUAUUCCUUAUUUCUUUCUCCCUCUGGUGGGAUCUCUCCAUAAAUGAUUUUUUUCUCUUUAUAAAUGCUUCUUGUAAGCUCCCUGGUAUAGGUGUAAACCUUUGAGGGGUGUCUGUUGGGGGGAAAAGAAAUUUAUGACAGAAAUAGGCAAAGUAUCUACUUUCCAUUAGAAGUGUGGAGACCAUCCAAGGCUUACCAGUAGAUGCUGUCCUUGGUUUUUCUAUGGAAAGUUCUGAUACAGCUGGAUAAUCUGAGGCUUCUGUUUCUGAUACAAGAGGCAGAAACUCACUCACCUAAUGGCAAGAAAGUUGCACGUUUUAUUCAACUUUUUAAAUGUCCCCCACCCCCCGCCUUUUUUUUUAAAGAAGGGGUCUUGCUCUGUUGUCACAUUAGAGUGCAGCGGUAUGAUCACAGCUCACUGCACCCUCAGCCUUAGCUGGGUCUACAGAGACCCGCCACCAUGCCUAAUUUUUGUAUUUUUUAAGGGAUUGGGUUUUGCCUUGUUGCCCAGGCUGGUUCUGAACUUCUGGGCUCAGGCUCCACUGCCCUCACACCUCUAGGCCUCUGUUUAGAUAGCUUUAUUCUUACUGCCUCCCUACUACUGUAGUAAAAUUACCAGUUGUUCUGAAGUCAUUUUUCAGUAUCUUGGAAUAAGUUUAGGUAAAACUUCCAACUUGGCUCCAUAGUUCUGCCAGAGUCUCGGAGACAGCCAUAAAUUGGAGUGGGGAUUAAAAGAAAAUGGCAGUGGUUGACAGAAUAGUGAAAAAGUUUAAGACAAAUUGAGAGUUGGUGGGGGUGUCAGCUUAGUUAAAUCCAUAGCAUAAUUCCCCCCAAUGAGUACCUUCUGAUAAGUUGUAAGAGACGAUCAACUGGUUUGCUCAUAAUGGGAUAAAAUAGAAGGAAUGCUUAUUAAAUUUACCUGAAAGCUGCUUUUUGCUUCAUUCUCACUCUUUUCUUCUAGGGUUAAAUUUGCAAAAUCCAUUUCAGCAAUACUGAUAUCACUGGUGCUUACUAAAGUUAGUUCUGGUUCUUCCAUUAUACCAUGGCCAGUUUCUGUUUCCUGUGAACCACAAUUAAAAGGAAAACUACGUCAAAAUAGCCUUAAAACUAAUAAUUUUGUAUAUAAUGCAUUUUUUGCAAGUGUAUAUAAAUGUGAAAAUGGAAGAAGAAAAGCAGUAAUUGGCAAAGAGCAACAGAUCAGAUUUCCUUAGGCUUUUGUAACUCCAGCAUUCAGUUUUAGAAAUACUGGAGUCAACUUUGGGGAAAGGAUGAAAUAGUUUGACAAUGGACUGAAAGUAUCUACCACAAUGAUUACAAACCUAAAUGCUUGUAGCGUUGGGCAAAAAAUAAAAACGCAGGUUGGCUGGGGCUGUGCAGAACUGUAUCCUGUCUAAAGGGAGCAGGAGUUGACUGGGCUGCUGCCAAAUGUGGGCCACUGACAGCCAACAGAUUAUAAGUGUUUCAAAGGAAGUAUCUAAACACUGAACAAGAACAAAAGCAGCCAAAUAAAAUUAAUUCUUAUUUUCAAUCUGUUGUGCUUAUUUGUGGAAGGAUAAACUGCACAUACUGCUAGAUGAAAACCAGUCACCAGUUGACUGGUGUUGAAAGGAAGCAGAUUAUAAGUUGCUUAGUAUGAGGAGCAAGAUUCCAAUACUUAUUCCAAUAAUGGACUACAUUGCAAUGAGGCUCAAUACUGAAAGUGCUGAAGCACAGGCAGAACCACCAUUUUUCAGGGAAGUUGGAGAAAGGAUAUCUGAAUUGGAAGAAAAAGGAUCUUUUGUAAAGUACAAUCAGAAGACAGCUUUCAAAUUUUUAAGUUUCUUCAUUAUGCUGGAUAUUUCCAGUGAUCACAAGGAAUAUUAACAAGUAGUUUUGCUUGUAUUUUGUUUCAGGUUUUUCCUGCCAGGCAUUGUGGUGUGUCCAAGCUACUUGGGAAGUUGAGGCAGGAGGAUCCCUUGAUCCUAGGAGUUUUGAGUUCAGCCUGGGUAACACAGCAAGAUCUUCAUCUCUAAUAUUAAAAGAAAAAUAUUUUUUCCCAAAAAGGAACUUAAAUGUUAUUUAUACAACACUGAUUUCACUUACCCAGACUGGUAUAGAGCUCUGUAAUGAAAAUGAUCUGGAACUUGCAAAAAGCUCUGAUUGACUUAGUUGAGAUAGUUUUUUGGUGAUUUUUGGAAUGUCUAUUUCAGCUGAAUUCUCAAAACAUUUUUCAUUUUGAGUAGUUAAGGAAUAUGGUGCCUGAACUGAAGUCCCCAUCUCCACACAUAAUUGAGAGUCAAUUUCCUCUAUCUGUGGAUUUAUGUCUAAAACCCUACAGGUUUCAUUUUUAUUAUCUUCAGUGAGUCCUUGACUUUGUAAAAUUGUAACAACCCCUCUUUUUGAUAGUUCUUCAAAGCCCAUCCUUUCCUUUCUGCUUUCUAGUUGGUGUUUUAUUGAGCACUCACUAGAGUUAGAACCACAUGGAGUGCUAUGUACAUUUAAUUGAUCAAAUAUAUUAGCUUCAUCACAUGAACUGUAGACUGAACUUAAGUUUCCUACAGAAAGCUGGAAAUGAACACCUUUUUUCUUGUUUUGUAGUAUUUCAGUAUGUUCUUCAGAGGAAUAGUUCUGAUUUUUCAUGCCUUGGGAAGAAUCCCUUGCUUCAAUGCUAAAAAUACUUGGUAGAUCAGCAUGCUGGCUCUCCUCCUGUGAAGAAUAUUCUGGCAGAAGCUGUUCAAAACAUUGUUCAGAUCCUGCGUUAAGAAAUUUAAAAACCAGUUAAUCAUUGUUACAUGUUGUAAAACUUGGAUACUGACAGUCUAAUAGUUUGUCAUCCAAUUGCAAUUUUAGGCAUAAAAGUUGAUGUGUAUAAACAUGAAUACAAAGAUAAGGAUGGUCACAGUGAUUUCUCAAACUACUCUACAGCUCACACCAAGUAUUUUUUUUUUCUAUUAACAUUUAAUAAGGGCAAUAUGGCUAUAAACUGAAGAUGUUGUUCCUUUAUUAGUGAAUAUGAUUUUAAUAAUAGAAAGAAUAAAGCAUCCAUGUGUCUCAAUUA